GCCUCCAUAGCUCAGUUGGUAGAGCGGCAGUUUUGUAAACUGUAGGUCGUCGGUUCGAAUCCGGCUGGAGGCU
rnacentral:tRNA from 1 species